UAAAGGUCAAUAGCAAUGACAAAUAUAUCACUGUAUGUGUUUGAAUAUGCAAUAUCAGCCUAAUCUCAUGGUGGAGGUUUUCACACCCUGGAAAUAUCAAUCAGGGAUUCAGCACGUGAACACUGGAAUCUAGUCUGAACUUCAGAAGAGCACUGUCCUGCUCCAGAUUAUGCCUAUGGCCUUUGGCAGCUGCUUAGCUGAUCCCACCCUGCUCCAAACCCUGGUAACAAGAACCUGACUGGACAUCUGUCAUCAAUCAUUAUGGAAACAUGAUGCUUGCUGCAUUCACGUAGUGUUUGAUAUGUAUCAAUUGCAGGCAGGCAGGUUGUAUUUUCUGUAGAAGACUUUGAGGAGAUAAAAGAAGGAAACUGCUGAAGACAUGAAAAAUGGGAUUGGUCCCUGGCUGAAGUCUGAACUAUCGUGUAUGAGAAAUUAUCGGACAUUCCUAAGUAUUCCAAACCUUCCUUUCUCUAUGACAGAUUCUCCAGGCCUUUUGCGGCCCUUGGGUGGACUUACUGCAGGUGGUCUCUGUCUUUUUGGUAGUGUGGAGCCUACUGCUGGACACGGCACUCCAAAUGCAGCCUCACCCAUGCGGAGUAGCAGGGAAAGAUCACCUCCUUCAACUUGCUGGUGAUGCUCUUCCUAAUGCAAUCCAGGAUGCCUUUCUUGCUGCAAGGGAACAUUGCUAAUUCGUGGUCAGCUUAGCGUCCACCAAGGGAAGCACAAAGGGAAAAGGACAAAUUGUGGCAUAUAUCGAGAAACCAGGUAUUUCCUGCUCCAUGACUGAUGUUGCUGUUGUUGCGCCCACUAACAGUUUAUCAAGAUCAGAAACAAGGAAAAAUAAAAUUACCUGUCUUAUAAAUCACUUCUCUUUAGAUCAUAUAAUAUCUUGACCAAAUGAAGAAAAUAGAAAAGUUUUGUGACAACAAAAGAUUAUGUAUAUUUAUGGCUUACCUCUAAACACAUUCAGUGUAAUAUCCUAGAAUUUAUUUAAAAACCUGGAAAAUACGCUAUAAGGUUUAAUGCUUCUACCUGCUAUAUUAUAAAUAACUUUAGAUCUGGGGGAGAAGAACUGAUUGAAAAGACAGACUUCUUUAUUAAGGUACAAAACUAGGAACUAAUCUUGUGUUAGUUUCAGGCAGAAUUUUAACUGUUGUGCUGAACUUACUUUUCUAGAAUUAGGAAAAAUUACAGUAUACAUAAAAAGAACUAUUCUUAGCAUGUAAUAUUAUUAUACAUUUAUUACCUGUAAUGUUGAUUAAUAUUAUUAAUGGCAUGUUAAUUCAAUAUAUUUAUAUGUAUUUUUUCUACAGUGUAAAACAUUAUUCAUUUUAAGUCUUGGCUACUUAAUACGUUUCAGUAGUUUAAGAGCACAGGGUUGAAGUGGAAUCUAAUAAUAUUUGUCUAACAAAUGUAGAAAUAUAAGAAUGAAGAAUUAUCUCAACAGUUUUUCAGUGUCCAGUAUCUUGCUAGAAAGAAUCAUCAGUACCAAACGUAGGCACUUCAUGACCUGUUUUGAAAUACCAUUUCUGUUUUUUCUAACUCUUCCUUCCUUUCCUUGUGAUUGAUUUGAACAUUGCAGCAGGACUAUGAUAAAAAUAUUAGAUAAUUGCAUGUGUCUAUUGUGCAAUUGCUUGGGUAAUUUUUAGGGGGGGAGAGUUUAUAUAAGCAAAAAAAAUGUGUUGGAACAGUUGAUAUGUUGAUCUAAUGGAAGGUGCCCCUGCCCAUGGCAGUGGACUUGGAACUAGAUAAUCUUUAAAGGUUCUUCCCAGCUCAAACCAUUUUACAAUGACCAUGAGGACUCAUUACAGUGGAGGACAUCUAUAUAGAUUCAUGCAUAUGGAUAGCACUUGAUUCAAAUUGCUGCCAUGUUAAUGGACAGUGAUUUAGGGGCAACACCCAGCUCAUGUUACAAGUCAGAGCCUGUAGUCCUAAUAAUUGCAUAGGUUAAGAAAUACUCAACAUUUUAAUCCCAGAUGGUUGUAUUUUGUCUACUUGGAGAGUUAUCAUGCACAAUCUGCCACAGGCUCUUCUGUUAGUAAUGCUGAUCAAACACAUUAUGUCACAUUCUAUUUCUUGUUUAUUUAGUGCUUUUUUAAACAUGUAAGAAUGGUAGCAGAAUCCAGUUGGGGAGUGCACUGUUUAAGGAGUGUACAUAUAGUACUUCUGCUGUGGUUUAACCUGGCAGGUGGCUGAGAACCACACUGUUGUUCACUUACUCUCCCCCACCCCACUCCCAGUGCAAUUGGAUAGAGAAUCAGAAAAGAACAAAGUAGAACUUGUGGGCUGAGAUAAAAACUAUUUACUAAAACAUAAAAAGAAAGAGGAAAAAAGGAUAAUUAUAUAUUCACAAAACAAAUAAUGCACAAGCAAUUGCUCACCACCCACCAAGAUGCCCAAUCAGUCCAAGCAGUGGCCUAUCCUGGCCAGUUGCCCCCCACUUUCAAUUUAUUUUAUGUGACACCACAUGGUAUGGAAUAUCUUUUUAACCAGGUUGGAUCAGCUGUCCUGGUUCUGUCCCCUCCCAGCAGCUUGCACUCCCUCAAUCCCCCUAACUGGCGGGACGGUACAAGAAGCUGAGAAACUGAAAGGUCCUACAUUGUUUUUCUCCUAAAACCAAAGCAUAGCAUCAUACCAAACACUAUGAAGGAAAAAUCAAGUUCUUCCCAGCCUAAACAAGAACAACUUAACAUAUAGGAAGCCAUUUAUUAUUACGCUAAUAUAAACAACGUCUAGGAGAGUUUGAAAAAGCUAUGAGCAAUACACUUUUGAGACAGGGCACAGUGGGAUAACUGGGUAGCAGGAGCUUUAGGCAAUUGAGCAGUGAUUACUAGACUUUUUUUUUAUUUUUAUUUUUUAAGAACUAAAUUAAGGUAAAAAUUUAAACAAAGGGCAUGAGCACAGCAUGCCUUAUGUUGAAGACUUACAUAUUCUAUUUGUGUAAAACCUGGAGGAGCUUCUGUUUUUACUGUUGCUUUUCUACAUCUUGUAUCAAAAAUGUUCAUAAGUUAAUAUGAGACUAUAAUGUAAAGUUUAUGCAAUUAAAGACCGUAAGAGAGUUUAUAGACCAUUCAUCAUUGGAUACGGGUCAUAAACUGUGAGUUUCAGAAAAUAAGAAAGGAAUUUCAUUUGUAGUUCACUGUUGCCUGAAGCCUACCUAAUGAAAUCUUUCUUAGUCAUAGAACUAACAGUGUAUCUAGCUGAAAAGCAUUGAAUAUUCACUGAGUCUAUUAAACUUGAAAAAGUAGAAUAAAAUCUUGCAUACUCAUAGGGUUUUUUGUUGGGUUCACUUCAACCAAAAUUAGACAGCUCUUGUUCAUUUAGUACAUUCAACAGGAGUUGAACCUUUAAGAUUCCACGCUGUCAGCUCCCAUCAUUUCAUAUGACAGCUGACUGAGUGUACUGAGUAAUGUACCCAGGCCAUACUAAGUGGAAAGCUGCUAAUGAAUACAAUUGGUUUUUUAAACCAAAGGAAAAGAAACACGUUAACCAGUGCUUUGUGGAUAUGUGGAUUCUGUUGGUCUUGUUUUGUCGUACCUAUGUAGCAGCAUACAGCGCUGAUAUGAAGAGAUCUGUAGAUUUCCUUAGAAAUAAUGUAUCUUGUUCUUUUCUAACUUUACUAUACUAUAUAAUAUUUUCUCAAAAACUAAAUACAUGUUGAAGAGAUACAUUUUUAAGGCAAUAAAAAACUCAAUUUCAUACCAAAGUCCUUUAAAGACUAGGGGAAAAAAUAAUGUUUAAAAGGAAAGGCUGAUGCUACUUACGCAGGAUGCUGAAAUAUUACUUGCAUGAAGCUUUUAGAAUGUUACAAACCAUGCAAGAAGAGUAUAAUACCAUCUGUUAUUUUUAAACAUGCUAUAUGAUUUCAGGUAGAAUUAGAGUCAGGGUUCUGAUUGGAGAACAGCAAAAAUGUAAAGUUUUGCUGAUAGAUUUCAGGCUUACCAGCUAUGGUCUUCAAAUUUACUCUCCUAUUCUUCAAAGACUCAUUAAACUUGAUAGUCUCAAACACUUUCAGUAAAGUUUCUAUUUGAGCAGAUGAAUAGAUGUAGAUUGUUGGUUUGGUAUAGUGUAGAAGUUGUUGGAAUAGGUUCAAAUCUCUGCUUUGAAAUUGAAAUCUCUAAUCCCCUGAAAAUUCAAAAUGGUUUCCGUAGGCCCAGUUUCUGCUAACUACUGCUAUCUGAAAGAAAUCCUAUUUAAUUUUAGACAUGUUUCUGUUCCUUUUUCCAUUCACGUUGGGUGGUUUACUGGAUAACAGCUGGCUUAUAAUUCUGGACAUUAUAACAGUAACUUCUGGUUAUGGAUAAAAAAAUCAAAGAGGAAUUUGCAAAGGAAAGACUCCUUUCCUUUUGUUGUUAUGAAAAAACCUGGUGAGAUUUUGAAGUAAUCUGGAAACUGCCUAUUGCAUUUACUUUGAAAUCUCUGCAAGUCCACUUUUUGUACCCCAGUGUUAUUAAUGUGGAAAUGCUCGAUUUAUGUUAAACUCUAAAAUUACAUGUUGGGAAAAAAGAAUAUUAACUAUUACCUUUGAAGUUUACAUGUUUGUUUAGUGUGCUGGUGACUCUCUUAUGUUAUUAUAUGUUAUUGUAUAUAUAACACGUUAUAUAUGUAGUAUGUUAUGAUAUAUAAUAAGUUAUUUCAAAUAUUUUCAAUGAAAAUACUUGAAAUAACAUCUAGAAUCAGUUUUUCUAAAAUACACAUUACCUUAAUGGGCAGAAAGUUUAAUAUGUUAAACAUUACUUUCAUUUUCAAAACAAACAAACAAACAAGCACAUCAUUUUUAGUGUUUCUUUUCCUUAUUUAAAAUCUCUUAGAGUUUAAAUACAUUGUGAAAUUUCAUACAAAACAAAAUUCUUGUAGUCUAGAUGUGUAUAUCUCUUUCUCAUAAAAUCAAGCUUAUCCCUUACAUUCACUUGGCUUUCCGAGUUGUACUUAAAGAUCAAAAACAUAUGUUGUUCCAGGUGUGCUUGUGAGCAGGCACCACUGAUGGGGCUUUAUGUAAAGAGAUAAAAAUUCUGUACAUGAGCUGUCACAAACUGUUUGGCUGAACAAAGUCAUUGUUACUAAAGCACUGCUGAUACUCUUAAAUGGAAAUGCAAUGAGAAACACUUGUGUGAAAACUAGAUUAGUAGAAUUGAAAGUCAUCAUGGAUUCUAGGUCAGAAGUAAAUAAAUAAGAUUGUUCAUGGAAGGUCAAAUAGUAUGCAUGUUCUCAGGGGGUGAUGAAAAUUUCUGCAGAGUAUAGAAACAGGUGUGAUUGUUAUACAGCAGGAGAAUGGAGAGCUUGCUGUAACCAGAACAUUUAAAAUUCUGCUGUCAAAAAUAUUGUACAAGAAAGAUAUAAGAUUAUGCUUAUUACUACUAAUUUAUGAGCGUAAAUAUGUUGAAGAGCUAGGAAUGCAGAGAAAAUAUUCUACAAUUUUGCCUUAAUAUUUAUAAGCCCUAAAGUGCACAAGAGUAUACUGUCCAAACAGGUUCAAUGAUAGCACUGUGCAUUUCAUUCUCUUUUUCACUAAGCCCAUGUAGAGAAUGGACAUGAACCACACCAUGGAGAUUGGACAUGUACUGUUUGACUAGAACAUGAAUUCAUCAGAUUGCCAGUGUGUGAAAGAAAAAGGCAAACAUUAAUUAGGCUGAUCAUGAAGAGGUAUUGCUUGCUUUCCUUUGCCAUUAUUUUGGAAACCAGGACUGGAGCUUUCAGGCUAGGAAGGGGUCAGAAGAUGGACAUGAAUGGGAAGGAAGCAAAAAGUCAGCAAAUCUCUGCCAGAACUUCUAUGCUGUGUACAGGGGAAGUGAAUGAUGUAAAAGUGGACGUAAAGUGGCUAUAACCGAUCUCAUUCUAGGGAGAGGUCUGCUGCCCAAGUUCACACACGAAGCCAAUGCAAGCGAAGCAGCUUUUCUCCUGGGUCUCACAUUAGCACUUGGACAGCUGAACCCAGGUUUCUGCACUCUGAGCCCAAGCAGGACACAGAAACACAUUAAUUUGGCCAAGAAAUGGUGUCUCCAUGAAGAUAAGACCAUUGGCUCUCUAUGAAAAAAAAAAAAGUUUAUCUCCAAUGCAGGACAUGGGUCUGUAUUACUUAUGUGUGUCAAACAUUUUCAAAAUUCCGUAGUCAGUUUACUUUGAAAAAAUCACAUUAAUUUUCUGCAUUUGAAGAGAGAUGUGAAAUUUUUCUAAGAAAUCUAGCAGAGCUCAGGAUUUCUAAGAAACUGAAACUUCUAGUUUUACAGCCUAAGUUAUAUCUCAUUAGUCAUGUGACUAAUCAAACCAAACUGAUUGUGUAUCAGCAUGUGUAUUUUUGUGUAAUAUAUUGUGCAAUUUGCUUCAUAAUGGACUGAAAUUUAGUAGUUAUUAGUACGUCUUUUAACAGCAAAAGCAACAACAGUGGGAGAUUAUUAUUUUCUUAUCUAAUUUUGCCAGUUCUACAAUGAGUUAAAAAUGGUAGCUAUUUUUCUUUUAGAAGCACAUUGUAUAUCACAGCAGAGGGGGGGAUCUAAGGGGCAAAGCAGAUACACAGCCUCAUAGACAUCUGUCUUGUUUUGGUUGUUCUAUAUACACAGACCUGUCAUAAAGGAAAUUUUAAAGAGAUGAAGAGGAGGGAGGAAAAAUUAUUACAAAAAAUCGUUAAAGGAAAUACAGUUAAUAAUCAACAUGUAUAUUUUAAUUCCACUUUUAUUGAAUAUAGAAAUCUUACUAUUAAAGUUGUAUUUAUUAUAGCUGAAAGGGGAGCUGAUAGAAUAACUAUUCUGAAGAAUUGUACAAGAAAGGUUUUUAGAAAUUUUAAGUAGCGGCAGGAGAGUAGAAACUAUAAUGCACACUAUCAUUUUUUUCUCUCCCAAAUGGGCUGGAGAAGAAUAGAUGUCUUGUAAAAUCAGCGUUUUCAUUUCCAGAUUGUAUUUACUUUAUGGAAAAGAGAAGCAACAGUUUUAUCACUUAAGUUUAGCACUAGUCACUGUACUUAAGAGUUUGAUCUUGAAAUUGCUUUCAGAAAAAACUAGUGCUUUAGACAGCUGGAAAAAAAAGAACUAAUUAAGAAUAGUUAGUGUUUAGUUGGCAGCCUGAGAUACAAAUCACUUUUUACAAGGUCUUUCCAUUUAUGUUUGUAUGGUAUGUUAAAAAUGAAAUGUUGGAAAUCACUGGUAAUCAUGUAUAAUCCUGUUGCCACCACACAGCAACAAUACACAGUGAUGAGCAUUGCUACUGCAACUGUACUCAGCUGCAAGCCAUUAAUAAGCUGAAUACAGCUAGGAUGCUCAGGUGUCAGUGUCCUAUGCAAUUUAUUUAUAGACAUAUGUUUUGCAUCUGUUAAGAGAGGAAGACACAUUUCCUACUGAAGAAUGCCAUUAAUAUGCCAAAUAGAGAGGAAAGAGUUUUGUAUUUCAUAGAGUUGUUUACUAUUCAUCUGAACCUAGGAUAUUCCUCCAGUAUCAAGAAGACAUUUACGUCUAUUCUGCCCUCAUGAGGCCACACCUAGAGUACUGCGUCCAGUUCAGGAUUCCCCAGUUCAAAAAAGAAAAAAAAGCCAGGAAACUACUAGAGAGAAUCCAGUGCAGGGCCACAAAGACUAUUAGGGGCCUGAAGCAUCUCCCUUAUGAGGAAAAGGACCUGGGAUUGUUCAGCCUGGAGAAAAGACUGAAAGGGGAUCUUAUCCAUGUUUUAAAAAUCUAAUGGACAGGAUUCAAGACAAUGGGGCCAGAUUCUUUUUGGUGAUGCCCAGUGACAGGACAAGGGGUAAUGGGUACAAACAGGAACGUAGGAAGCUCCAUACAAACAUGAGGGAAAAAUUCUUCACUUUGAGGAUGACAGAGCACUGGAACAGGCUUCUGGAGUCUCCUACUCUGGAGAUAAUCAAAACCUUCCUGCAUGCUUCCUUGUGUAAUCUACUGUAAGGAACCUACUUUAGUAGGAGAGUUGGACUAGAUGAUCUCCAGAGGUCCCUUCCAACCCCUACAAUUUGUGAUUCUGCAUUUCUGUGUUCCAUAUGGAAGAGAAUGAACCUUACUCCAUCUAAGAAAGUGUACAGGCUACUCGUAAUUACACGGGGAACAGAGAAAUUAAACUUCAGAUGGAGACCUAAGAGGUGUGGUAAGAGUUAAGCAGCUGCACCAAAAGAGGAAGACAAUGGUAAUUAUAAGACUUGGAGCCAUCCUUUUAUCAGGAGGUAAAAGGAAAGGGAGGUGCUUAAGGAAAGUGAAUCCUAUUGAUAUGGGUCUGAUAUGGGAACCUCCAGGAGGUUCCUGGAUUUAAUUGAUAAAUUCCUUCUUGCGGUGAUAGAGGAUUCAGUGAGGAGAGGAACUCUCACCAACAUGGAAGGGCUUGUGGCAAAUCUGAAGACCAAGGGUAGCCUUGACUGAAGAGGCUGUGAAGUGAGGGAGUUAAGAUCCAUAGGGCAGCUGGAUCAAGCUCACUGCCUAUGGAUGCCUUAUCCUUGUAAGCAUUCAAGGCCAGGUGGGAUGGGGUUUUGGUCAACCUGACCUAGUGGAAGGUGUCCCUGCUCAUGUCAGGGGAUCAGAAUUAGAUGAGUUUUAGGAUCCUUUCGCACCAAAAACUUUCCGUGGUUGUAAGAUUCUAUGGCUUCCAUUUAAGUAAACUAACUGCAAUUUUUCUUCAAUUUCUUCACCUCAGUCUUUUUUAAAGAAAUGUUAAAAAUAAUUUACUUUAGAUUUUAUGAAUAAAUUUGUUUACUUAUACAUGUAUUCAUAUCUAUAUUAACGUCAUUUGAUUUAAGAAUAAUUUUUCUCAUUUAUUAACUAUAUUGUACCCUGGGACUUUAUGUCCCAAGAACUCCAGCUCCAUAGAGUAUGUUUUGCUUUAUUGAAAGGUUAACAGAAGAAAUGCUCCUUUGAACUACAUGUUUUAACAUGGAGAUUUGGCAUCAUAGGAAUUACAAAAGUUCAAUCUGUCUUCUAGAAAUUGUGACAAACUCUUUGGUGAGGAUUUUUCUCAAUAAAAUUUUGAAGCUACUUGCCAUUAUAUUAAAUAUCAAUCAUAGUUAUAACCUCAGUUAUUAAACACCUUUAAGAGUAAAAUAACUUUUAAAAAGAGAUUUUUUUCUCUCUUUUUUUUUUUUUCUGAGGAAGAAAUGGGAUCCCUUGCAAAGGCAAGGGAAUGCUACCAGUGCUCAUAAAGUGGAUUAGUGGUAGAACUUCCCAGAACUUACAUAGUGUUGGACUGAUAAUUUAGUAGCAGAAAGUAAUCUCCUAGAGAUUGCUUCACCAAGGAAAUAAUCAACUGCUUGCAUUCUAAUAUCACACAUCAAUGAAAAAGAAGAAAAAUAAAAGAAAGAAGGAAUAUAUUAUAAACUGUAUAUGCUGUAUUAUCUUAGAUAAAAUAAAGGAAUUAAAAGUCUAAUAUUUGCCAUUGGAAAGACAAACAUAUUGUUUGAAUAGAAAGCAUGAACUUUGAGUAAGUCAGCAUACAAAGCAUAGUAAAAGUACAAUUUCCCAUUGUUGACAGUAUGCAUUAAGUUUGUUCCACAAACAUAAACAAUACAUCCAGAGUGGGAAAUGAGCAAAACAUCAGCCUUCUAGAGAACCUGUUGCGCAUUUUCUCCAGCACAUUCAUCAACUUGGGGGAUUUUUCACAGCUGUCAUUAAAUGGUACUGGCCAGUUAAAAUGUGGUGUAAUUUUUGCAUUUACAUUGUGAAUAUUCUGUGAAGUAAAUGCAAUCAGUUUCACAAAGUAUUAUUAUAAGUCACCUCACAUAUUUUUAACACUUCAUUUUGUCCACUUUGAAAAAAACACUUGCCUGGUGUAACCAAAAUAAGUGUAGCAAAGUAAAUAUCACGAAGACAAUUUCUUUGCUGAGAUCACUCUCAUACUUCUGUUAUCAAGUCACUUCUUAAAAGAUUUGCCAAAAAUAAACUUUCUGAUGAUGGCAUC